rnacentral:rRNA from 1 species
UACGUAUGGUGCAAGCGUUAUCCGGAUUUACUGGGCGUAAAGGGAGCGCAGGCGGUGCGCCAAGUCUGAUGUGAAACCCCGGGGCUCAACCCCGGGCAUGCAUUGGAAACUGGCGGGCUGGAGUGCCGGAGAGGUAAGCGGAAUUCCUAGUGUAGCGGUGAAAUGCGUAGAUAUUAGGAGGAACACCAGUGGCGAAGGCGGCUUACUGGACUGUAACUGACGUUGAGGCUCGAAAGCGUGGGGAGCAAACAGG